rnacentral:rRNA from 1 species
UACGUAGGGGGCUAGCGUUGUCCGGAUUUAUUGGGCGUAAAGAGCGUGUAGGCGGCCAGGUAGGUCUGCUGUGAAAACUCGAGGCUCAACCUCGAGACGUCGGCGGAAACCAUCUGGCUAGAGUCCGGAAGAGGAGAGUGGAAUUCCUGGUGUAGCGGUGAAAUGCGCAGAUAUCAGGAAGAACACCCGUGGCGAAGGCGGCUCUCUGGGGCGGUACUGUCGCUGAGACGCGAAAGCGUGGGGAGCGAACAGG